rnacentral:lncRNA from 1 species
AGCUGUGAUAUAACAAUGGGAUCAUCCUAUAGAUGCUGUCUCUUACUUUUUUAUUUAAUAUAUCAUCAUCUGUUUACAUGUCAGGACAGAGAUCCACCUCACUUUUUUAACUGACUACAGAAUAAGCCACUGUAGGGAGAUACCAUAUAAUUUUUCAACCACCCACAACACAUAUAAGCCAACUUGAAAUUUUUGUCUUUACAAGCAAUGCUAUAUAGAGAACACAGCCCCACAUAUAUCUUUUAUGAGUUUGAGUAUUUCCAAAGAAUAGGUUUCUAGUGGUAGAAAGGCUAGGUCAAAAUGUUACCAUUUUUAAUAGGUUCUUCUCAAUACUCUCCAAAGAGGCCUUAUCAAAUCAUUUCAAGACCAAGAGUUAAUAAACACUUGUGAAAUUCUGCCAGGCUGGUAAAGGACACAUGCUAUCUCAUUCCGUCAUUUUCUUAAAUGUUAACUUAAGACACUCUGGGUCCAUGGUACACUUGGAAUUUUCCUGCCUCCAGGCCUUUGCUCCCACUGUUGCCUCCACUUAGAAUAACAUUCCACCCCAUCUCUAUAAAUAUCCUACAGACAAAUACUACCUUCCCCUUAAGGCCAGUUCUAACCCUAACUGACAACAAAUCAUCGCUACAUGAUCUUUUCCUUCUGGGAAUGCCUGCAGCACUGUUUAAUCCUGCCCCACCACCAUCCCCUCACCCAGCACCCUCUCCCAGACCAGACAGGGUGGCUCAUGCCUGUAAUCCCAGCACCUUGGGAGGCUGAGGCAGGAGGAUUGCUUGAGCCCAGGAGUUCAAGACCAGCCUAGGCAAUACAGUGAAAAGUCAGGCAAAACUGAGCAAGAAAGAAAAGCAGAAUGGAGGAGGUCAGGACAUCAAGAAAAUCUGACUCCACCUGCUUCCAAGGGGAGUGGGAAGAUAAAAGUCAAAUAGGACAAGGUGGAAACAACCCAAUCUCCAUCAACAGAUGAAGGGUGAGCAAAAUGGGGUACAUACACAAUGGAAUAUUAUUCAGACUUUAGAAGGAAGGAAAUUCUGACACGCUGCAGCGUGGAUGAAUCUUGAGGACAUUACACUAAUUGAGAUAAGCCAGUCGCAAAAGGGUAAACACUGUACGAUUUCACUUUUAUGAGGUAUCUGGAGUAGUCAAAUUCACAGAGAAAGAAAUUUAGAGGUCACCAGGGGCCAGGGGAAAGGGGAAUGGGGAGUUGGUAAUAGGCACAGUAGGAGAAGAUGAAAAAGUUCUGGAGAUGGAUGGUG